UACGUAGGGCGCAAGCGUUGUCCGGAAUUAUUGGGCGUAAAGAGCUCGUAGGCGGCUUGUCGCGUCGGAUGUGAAAGCCCAUGGCUUAACUGAGGGUCUGCAUCCGAUACGGGCAGGCUUGAGGCAGGUAGGGGAGAACGGAAUUCCCGGUGUAGCGGUGAAAUGCGCAGAUAUCGGGAGGAACACCAGUAGCGAAGGCGGCACUCUGGGCCGGUACUGACGCUGAGGAGCGAAAGCGUGGGGAGCAAACAGG
rnacentral:rRNA from 1 species